rnacentral:lncRNA from 1 species
AGCCACCGCGCCCGGCCGAGAAACUUUUUAGUAGCCUAAUAUAUUUGUCCUUGGAGUCCCCAGAGAGACAGGAAAGAAAGGAAAACAUAUUUGAAGAAAUAAUGGCUGACAUUUUCGUGAAUUUCUGGAAAACUCUAAGCCCAGAAACACAAGAUGCUCGUGAGCCCCAAGAUUAAGAAAUAAGAAAACUACCAGCUGCAUCCUCAUAAAUUGUUCUAAACUACUGAUCAAGAGAAAACUUUAAAGCAGCAAGAUACAAAGUUAUAUUACAUGCAGAAGAACACAGGUCAGCACGGCAACAGAUCUAUCAUCGGAAACCAUCCGAGCAAGAAGUCAGUAGGACAGUGUCUUUAAGAUCACCAGUGGUUUAACAGCUGUGGGCGGAGGAGUAUCAAGCACUCCCAUAUCCUCGGGGGAAAUGGAAGCUCAUGCUGCCUCUGCAGAGGGUGAAUGGUCAGCACAGAAGACAGCCACAGAUCAAGAAAAACUAGUUGUCAACAAGGCCCACUCACUUAGAAACAAUCUAAAUAAAACCCGGAAGAUCA